rnacentral:rRNA from 1 species
GGCAGCAGCUAAGAAUAUUCCGCAAUGGACGAAAGUCUGACGGAGCGACGCCGCGUGGAUGAUGAAGGCCGGAAGGUUGUAAAAUCCUGUUAGGUGCGAGGAAUAAGGGGAGUGAGAGAAACGCUUCCCGGUGACGGUAGCACCUGAAUAAGCAACGGCUAAUUACGUGCCAGCAGCCGCGGUAACACGUAAGUUGCGAGCGUUGUUCGGAAUUAUUGGGCGUAAAGGGUAUGUAGGCGGUUCUGCAAGUCUGGUGUGAAAUGCCGGGGCUCAACCCCGGAACUGCGUUGGAAACUGCAGGACUUGAAUCGCUGAGGGGCAGCCAGAAUUCCAGGUGUAGGGGUGAAAUCUGUAGAUAUCUGGAAGAAUACCAAUGGCGAAGGCAGGCUGCCAGCAGAUGAUUGACGCUGAGGUACGAAGGUGCGGGGAGCAAACAGGAUUAGAUACCCUGGUAGUCCGCACAGUCAACUAUGUACACUGGGUGUCCGCUCAUGAGAAUGGGUGCCGAAGCAAACGCGAUAAGUGUACCGCCUGGGGAGUAUGCCCGCAAGGGUGAAACUCAAAGGAAUUGACGG